UUCAUUCUAACAAUGUAAUUACAAAAACAAAUAAAUUUCUACACAAAGAUCUUAUUUCAGCUACAUCACAUGACAUCACAUAUAAGAGUGCACUCCUAGUUAAAAAUUAAAUUGAAAUAGAUCCAAAUAUCUUAAGAACCACGUGGUUACAUAAAGUUAAUACAAUUAUAAGUUAUGCCCUUAUUCUUAAUAUACAUUUUUGUAGGUAUUUAGAUAACCUAUUGUUAUUAAUCCAUAAAAUAAUUAACAUGUCUAAAUGUUUAGUUAAUAUAUAUUUAUCUAAUUGUUUUCUUCAACAGAAAACCCAUAAUUUAUACCUUUUAUGCAUGCAUUUCUCUGAUGCUCUAUCUUUUAGUUACAGAUAUUUGAGAUAAAUAUAUUUAACUAUAAAUUUACUUUCAAGAAAAAAAAAAUGCAACCUUCAAGUUAUCUCUAAUUCUCAAGGUUAUUGUACAAACAUUUAUAAGAUGAUAACAGAUAUGACUCUGUCUACAGAAAUAUCCAAAGGCUUUAACUAUAUUUUCAUUGAGACAUUUCUUAUCAAGGUACAAUAAUUUGUUUAGAUUCUAAGGUUUUCAGAAAUUAUUUCAAAGUAUAACCAGGAAAAAUUCUAAAAGGAAACAACGAUGCUUCACCAGAGAGGAAGCACACAUUGGAGGUCCUAAGAAAAACAAAGGAAUCAUCUUUGGGUAAGAAAAGGUUGUUAUAUUCUGGAUUUUAAUGAUAAAAGUAUUUUCCUAAAAAGGAAAAUCUUUAUAUCAUUAUCAAGACAGAUGAUAUAGAAAGUUAAAACAAUUAAAAAAGAGAUUUAUGUGUACUGGACUUACUAUAAAAAUUUUUAACUGAUUAAUUCAAGGAUAUUCCAGGCUAUUUUUCUGAUUUUACUGUGCUGAUAUGAGCUAAGAUUUUUUCCAUAUUUUGAUAUGAUAAAGACCUAUUAAAAUGUUAAGUUUAACUUACUUAAGGAAGGUCUUUAUUGUCUGAUGAUUCUUACUAUUUAAGUCAAGGGUUAAUUUUGGUGAAUAAACUCAUAUCCUUGAUUAAACACUGAAUAUAUUAACUGCUGACUUAGAUCCCAAUUUUGACAAUUCCCCUUGGAUACUAAAUUUGAUUAAUCUAUCAAAUUAAUCAAAGACACUGUUGAUUCUUACAUAUUACUUUUGUUUGUUGAAUAAUUAUGAGAUUUGAGAGAUCAUUGUAUUAGGACUGAGGUUUUCCAAAUUGAAGUCGUGUGUUAGUUUUGAACAAUAAAGGUUGCAAACCUUGUUGGAAAUUCAUUGUUAUUAUAUAAGUUCUCUGACUGGACCUAUUAUCCAUAAAAAAUAUGGUAGGAGUUAUAUAUUAUUCCCUACAUUGGGAAGUAACCUUAAUCAUAUUUUUUAAAAGAAAUUAAGACACACCUAUUUAAAGGACAAUAUUCUGAAGUAUAGAGAUAUUUUGAGACCUUCUCUCAAAAAGAGAUUGAGAGUUCUUUCUAAAUUGUUAGGAUGAAUCAAAUAAUCUAUUUGAAAAUUUACAAUAAUCAAUAAAAAUUGAAAAAUUUUGAAUAUUGAAAAAUUACAAUAAUCAAUAAAAGGUAAAUCUUUUCUUAACAUUUAAGUACUUGUACUAUUAUCUAUAACAUAAACUGAUGAUACAUUGGCUUACACGAAGGCUUUACCCAAUUUUGUUAAAUAAAAAAGGGGGGGAGGGGACAGGACUGGAGAGGCACACACUGGAUCUUACAAAAUAUUUUAAAAAUUUUUUCUUAAUUGUAAUAUUGAGAGUCUCAUUGUUGUUAAACUUGAUUCAGUAAAUUAAAUCAGAUGUCAAAGUAGAGUUUAAACCAGUCAUCAUGAAAAUUACUGAUAAACCUGACACAGGAAGGUAAAUUUCCAACUGCAAAGUUUAUAGCCAUAUAGAUUCACUAGUUUGUCAGGUAAGUAAAAAUUAUGAAAAGACUUGUGUGGACCCAUUUCUCAGGUCCACCUUUAAUGUACCUUGCAGUGUGGACUGGAAAGUCCACCCAUGAAACUUGAUUAAUUAUACUGACUAUAAUGGUCAAUUAUACCUCUAUGUUGAUGCUAUGGUAAACAGGCUGUCUGGGAGUAUCUUUUGAGAAGAAGACAGUAUAUAAGAAACCUAAACCAGCCAAUUCUGCUUGUCCUUAGAAAUUAGACUACCUAUCUGGACAAUUGUCAUGAAGAUUAUUAAAACAGAAUUUUCCUAUACAGGCAAGUUAUUUACAUAAAAUAUCCACCAAUGUAUUAUUGUCUUAAUCAUUCUACAAUAGAAGUUGACACCUUUUCUAAGUGGAUAGAUUAUGCAAAUGUCUUGUCAACACAACACAAGAUGUCUAGAAAUAAUGGAUAUAUUAGGUUAGUCUCCUAAAAUGGACAAGAACAAUUACAUGAGGAUGCUGUAAUUCUUAGAAUCUCUAACCCUCAGAAAGAUGACACCCAAAAGGAUGUUUUGAUGUUUGACUUCUACCUUCAGAAGAUUACAUUACUGAUAACCUAAUAAACUCCUUAAAUGUGAGAAUUAAGAGAAAAGAUGAUGAAUAUCCUGUAGCCUGCAAGAAUACAACUUAUCUUAUUGAAUCACUAGUUAUUGCCAGCUAAUAUUUCAGAGCUAUAAUAUGCUGAAGUUAAUGUACAGACUUUGAAACAGGUGCAUGUCAAUUAGCCAGACCUAGGCAAGCUGCUGGUCUCAUCAACCUUGAAGUGACUACUUUAAAUAUUAUUCCUAGCUUCCACAAUUACAGCCUUUAUGGCUAUAUCUUAAAACUUACUGUGGGUAGCCAUUCUCGCACGUGAUUGGGCACCUCCUGGAUUGGGUGUGAGGCGUUCUGGCCAAACUGUGUCAGAGCUUUCCCCACCCUCUCCAGGUGCGAGAGCCUGUCCACGUGGGGAUGUGACUGACCACUGACCCUGAGGCCAAUCACUGACCCUGACCUUGGAAUGCUGCCCCCUUGACCUUCAUUGGAUGGAAUUUUCCCCUGAAUUUCUUGUUCCCCAAUAAAAGGCCACUCCCUGGCAUGCUCUCUCUCUCUCUCCUGCGAGCCCUGAGUAAGCCUUGCUGCCCCACCGGGUGGUUCGAGGUGUGAGCCAGAGAGGUGAGAGCCGUCUCAGACCUGGUCAUAGGAAAAGACACUUAAGGUCAGAAGAGCCGUCACAGGACCCCAAAGAAAAAG